UACGGAGGGUCCGAGCGUUAUCCGGAAUCAUUGGGUUUAAAGGGUCCGUAGGCGGGCCUGUAAGUCAGGGGUGAAAGUCUGUGGCUCAACCAUAGAAUUGCCUUUGAUACUGCAGGUCUUGAGUCAUGGUGGGGUUGCCGGAACAUGUGGUGUAGCGGUGAAAUGCAUAGAUAUCACAUAGAACACCGAUCGCGAAGGCAGGUGACCAACCAUGUACUGACGCUGAUGGACGAAAGCGUGGGUAGCGAACGGG
rnacentral:rRNA from 1 species